CCCUUAGAUGUUCUGGGCCGCACGCGUGCUACACUGAGUGGAUCAGCGGGUCAGGUUGCGCGAAAGUGUUUCCUAAUCUUUAAAUCCGCUCGUGAUGGGGAUUGACGGUUGCAAUUUUCCGUCAUGAACGAGGAAUACCUUGUAAGCGCGGGUCAUCAUCCCGCGCUGAAUACGUCCCUGCCCUUUGUACACACCGCCCGUCGCUCCUACCGAUUGAGUGGUCCGAUGAGGCUUUGGGAUCUGAGCGGAAAGAGCGUUUCGCUGUUUCUGCCCGGAAAACUCAGUCGAACCUUAUCAUUUAGAGGAAGGAGAAGUCGUAACA
rnacentral:rRNA from 1 species